GAAUUCGAUUGGAAGUAAAAGUCGUAACAAGGUUUCCGUAGGUGAACCUGCGGAAGGAUCAUUAACAGAGCAAAUAAAUGCUACCGAAGCAAGAGGGCUAUCUAGCUCUCGGCGUGGUCCCCGAGGGACGCAGACCCGGCCGAGCCCUGUAGCUCAGGCGGGUGCUGAGACCUGCCGGUCUCGAUGGCGUGGGCAAUCGCUUCGGCGUCCCACUGGUGCGCGUUCAGGCGGGGAACUUUGUCUCCCAGUUCGACGCCGAGCCUUGUCGCUCAGGCGGUUGCUGAGACUUGUCGGUCUCGAUGGCGUGGGCAAUCGCUUCGGCGUCCCACUGGUGCGCGUUCAGGCGGGGAGCUUCGUCUCCCCGUUCGACGCCGAGCCUUGUCGCUCAGGCGGUUGCUGAGACCUGUCGGUCUCGAUGGCGUGGGCAAUCGCUUCGGCGUCCCACUGGUGCGCGUUCAGGCGGGGAGCUUUGUCUCCCCGUUCGACGCCGAGCCCUGUAGCUCCGGCGGUUGGUGAGACCUCUCGGUCUCGAUGGCGUGGGCAUCGCUUCGGCGUCCCGCAGGUGCGAGCACAGGAGGGGAGCUACGUCUGCCCGUUCCGUUUUCUGCUAAGCACGGUUCUCCGUGCCGAUGGAGAGAGCUUCGCCGUUCGUGCGUCUCUCGCUCUAGUCGUUCGGCUUGGGUACCUAUCCCGCCUCCUUGCGGGGAGACCCGCUGGGAACCGGCUUCUAGGCCGGCAACCGGCCGGGAGGUUUUAAAUGAAUGUCGCCCAUUCACGAACAGCAAUGUUUUGUUUUCGCUUGUGACGAUACCCUUGUGACGCAAGGCCCUGUCGCGAGGCAGGUGCAUGCAAUGAAAGAACAACCCUGAACGGUGGAUCACUCGGCUCGUGGGUCGAUGAAGAACGCAGCAAAUUGCGCGUCGACAUGUGAACUGCAGGACACAUGAACAUCGACAUUUCGAACGCACAUUGCGGUCCAUGGAUUCCGUUCCCGGACCACGCCUGGCUGAGGGUCGGUAGCUAAAACUGAGCGCUGUUCGCGUUCGAUGGUGGGAGCAUCGCGGUUCGUGCGGCUUCGGCCGCCGCUGCGUCUCCUGAAAUGAGCUCCGCUGUCGGAGCUGGACCUGUCACGUACGGACUGAGAGCACGUCGACGGUGGUCCGCGCAACGUCUUGGUGAGCUAGCGCAGGUCGCCCCGGAGGCCGAUGCUCCCGUGACGAGAAACAGUUGCCACCACGACCUCAGAGCAGGCGAGACUACCCGCUGAAUUUAA
rnacentral:rRNA from 1 species